rnacentral:rRNA from 1 species
AUUGAACGCUGGCGGCAUGCCUUACACAUGCAAGUCGAACGGCAGCAUGAUCUAGCUUGCUAGAUUGAUGGCGAGUGGCGAACGGGUGAGUAAUACAUCGGAACGUUCCCUGUAGUGUGGGAUAACUAGUCGAAAGAUUAGCUAAUACCGCAUACGACCUGAGGGUGAAUGUGGGGGACCGCAAGGCCUCAUGCUAUAGGAUCGGCCGAUGUCUGAUUAGCUAGUUUGUGAGGUAAAGGCUCACAAAGGCGACGAUCAGUAGCUGGUCUGAGAGGACGAUCAGAAAAACGGGGACUGAGACAAGGCCAAGAAUACUACGGGAGGCAGAAGUGGGGAAUUUUGGACAAUGGGAGAAAGCAUGAUAAAGAAAUGAAGAGUGUGUGAAGAAGGCAUUAGGGUUGUAAAGCACUUUUGUCCGGAAAGAAAUGGCUCUGGUUAAUAACUGGGGUAGAUGACGGUAAAGGAAGAAUAAGGACCGGAUAACUACGUG